GAUGAACGCUGGCGGCGUGCCUAAUGCAUGCAAGUCGAGCGAACGGACGAGAAGCUUGCUUUUCUGAUGUUAGCGGCGGACGGGUGAGUAACACGUGGAUAACCUACCUAUAAGACUGGGAUAACUUCGGGAAACCGGAGCUAAUACCGGAUAAUAUUUUGAACCGCAUGGUUCAAAAGUGAAAGACGGUCUUGCUGUCACUUAUAGAUGGAUCCGCGCUGCAUUAGCUAGUUGGUAAGGUAACGGCUUACCAAGGCAACGAUGCAUAGCCGACCUGAGAGGGUGAUCGGCCACACUGGAACUGAGACACGGUCCAGACUCCUACGGGAGGCAGCAGUAGGGAAUCUUCCGCAAUGGGCGAAAGCCUGACGGAGCAACGCCGCGUGAGUGAUAAAGGUCUUCGGAUCGUAAAACUCUGUUAUUAGGGAAGAACAUAUGUGUAAGUAACUGUGCACAUCUUGACGGUACCUAAUCAGAAAGCCACGGCUAACUACGUG
rnacentral:rRNA from 1 species